GUGCCAGCAGCCGCGGUAAUACGAAGGAGGCAAGCGUUGUUCGGAAUCACUGGGCUUAAAGCGCGUGUAGGCGGAGUGAAAGGUACCUUGUGAAAUCCCUUGGCUCAACUGAGGAAUUGCUUGGUAAACCGGCACUCUUGAGGCAGGUAGAGGUGGGCGGAACUAUGGGUGGAGCGGUGAAAUGCGUAGAGAUCCAUGGGAACACCGGUGGCGAAAGCGGCCCACUAGGCCUGAUCUGACGCUGAGACGCGAAAGCGUGGGUAGCAAACAGGAUUAGAUACCCCGGUAGUCC
rnacentral:rRNA from 1 species